rnacentral:rRNA from 1 species
AAUCUAUAGAGGCGUUUUCCGCGCCGGACCGCGUCCAAGUCUCUUGGAAUAGAGUAUCAAAGAGGGUGACAAUCCCGUACUUGACGCGACAACCGGUGCUCUGUGAUACGUUCUCAACGAGUCGAGUUGUUUGGGAAUGCAGCUCUAAAUGGGUGGUAAAUUCCAUCUAAGGCUAAAUAUUGGCGAGAGACCGAUAGCGAACAAGUACCGUGAGGGAAAGAUGAAAAGCACUUUGGAAAGAGAGUUAAACAGCACGUGAAAUUGUUAAAAGGGAAACGAUUGAAGUCAGUCGUGUGAAAGGUAUUCAGCCGUCUCUGGCGGUGUAUUUGCCUUUCACGGGUCAACAUCAGUUUAGUCCGGUAGAAAAAGGCUGGAGGAAGGUGGCACCCUCGGGUGUGUUAUAGCCUCCUGUCACAUGUGCCGGAUUAGACUGAGGAACGCAGCUUGCGGAAGGAUCAUUAAUAAUGCCCUCUGGCUUCGGUC